GAUGAACGCUGGCGGCGUGCUUAACACAUGCAAGUCGAGCGAAGCGCUUAAGUUUGAUUCUUCGGAUGAAGACUUUUGUGACUGAGCGGCGGACGGGUGAGUAACGCGUGGGUAACCUGCCUCAUACAGGGGGAUAACAGUUGGAAACGACUGCUAAUACCGCAUAAGCCCACAGCUCAGCAUCGAGCAGAGGGAAAAGGAGUGAUCCGCUUUGAGAUGGCCUCGCGUCCGAUUAGCUGGUUGGUGAGGUAACGGCCCACCAAGGCGACGAUCGGUAGCCGGACUGAGAGGUUGAACGGCCACAUUGGGACUGAGACACGGCCCAG
rnacentral:rRNA from 1 species